CCCUGGGGGGGCCUAAUAAUGCAAGUCGAACGCACUCUCGUUAGAUUGAAGAAGCUUGCUUCUGAUUGAUAACAUUUGAGUGAGUGGCGGACGGGUGAGUAACACGUGGGUAACCUGCCCUAAAGUGGGGGAUAACAUUUGGAAACAGAUGCUAAUACCGCAUAAAACCUAGCACCGCAUGGUGCAAGGUUGAAAGAUGGUUUCGGCUAUCACUUUAGGAUGGACCCGCGGUGCAUUAGUUAGUUGGUGAGGUAAAGGCUCACCAAGACCGUGAUGCAUAGCCGACCUGAGAGGGUAAUCGGCCACACUGGGACUGAGACACGGCCCAGACUCCUACGGGAGGCAGCAGUAGGGAAUCUUCCACAAUGGACGAAAGUCUGAUGGAGCAACGCCGCGUGAGUGAAGAAGGUUUUCGGAUCGUAAAACUCUGUUGUUGGAGAAGAACGUAUUUGAUAGUAACUGAUCAGGUAGUGACGGUAUCCAACCAGAAAGCCACGGCUAACUACGUGCCAGCAGCCGCGGUAAUACGUAGGUGGCAAGCGUUGUCCGGAUUUAUUGGGCGUAAAGCGAGCGCAGGCGGUUUCUUAAGUCUGAUGUGAAAGCCUUCGGCUCAACCGAAGAAGUGCAUCGGAAACUGGGAAACUUGAGUGCAGAAGAGGACAGUGGAACUCCAUGUGUAGCGGUGAAAUGCGUAGAUAUAUGGAAGAACACCAGUGGCGAAGGCGGCUGUCUGGUCUGUAACUGACGCUGAGGCUCGAAAGCAUGGGUAGCAAACAGGAUUAGAUACCCUGGUAGUCCAUGCCGUAAACGAUGAGUGCUAGGUGUUGGAGGGUUUCCGCCCUUCAGUGCCGCAGCUAACGCAUUAAGCACUCCGCCUGGGGAGUACGACCGCAAGGUUGAAACUCAAAGGAAUUGACGGGGGCCCGCACAAGCGGUGGAGCAUGUGGUUUAAUUCGAAGCAACGCGAAGAACCUUACCAGGUCUUGACAUCCUUUGACCACUCUAGAGAUAGAGCUUUCCCUUCGGGGACAAAGUGACAGGUGGUGCAUGGUUGUCCUCAGCUCGUGUCGUGAGAUGGUGGGUUAAGUCCCGCAACGAC
rnacentral:rRNA from 1 species